rnacentral:rRNA from 1 species
AACGAACGCUGGCGGCAUGCCUAACACAUGCAAGUCGAACGAGACCUUCGGGUCUAGUGGCGCACGGGUGCGUAACGCGUGGGAACCUGCCCUUAGGUUCGGAAUAACUCCCCGAAAGGGGUGCUAAUACCGGAUAAUGUCUUCGGACCAAAGAUUUAUCGCCUUUGGAUGGGCCCGCGUUGGAUUAGCUAGUUGGUAGGGUAAAAGCCUACCAAGGCGACGAUCCAUAGCUGGUCUGAGAGGAUGAUCAGCCACACUGGGACUGAGACACGGCCCAGACUCCUACGGGGGGCAGCAGUGGGGAAUAUUGGAACAUGGGCCAAAGGCUUAUCCAGCAAUGCCGGGGGAGUGAAGAAGGCCUUAGGGUUGUUAAGCUUCUUUACCCGGGAUGAUAAUGACAGUACCGGGAGAAUAAGCUCCGGCUAACUCCAUG